GGUUAGUACUAUUGCCUAUUGUGCUAUUUUCUUUCUUUGAAUUUAAUUUCUCUGUUUUGAGCUCUUAAAAUAGUUUUUGUGAUCGAGAUAUUUUUUUUUAUUAUUAUCAGAAUGGUAGUUUGGGUGUUUAUGUUGGGAAUUGUUUCUCACCUCUACAUGAAAUGUGUUGUUUUUUUGGCUUCAUAUGUGAAAACUGGCUUUGUUUGGUUUUUGUUGCCUUAUUCAUACUUUUUUUUCCUGCUUUUGAACUGAGGUGCUUCUUGUUUCCUUUUUUUGGAGCACAUGUUGAAUGUCAGAUUGUUAAAAUUUGUAAAUAUGAUUUGCAUGAUGUCAAGCUAAUGUGAAGUGCCAAUU
rnacentral:misc_RNA from 1 species